AGGUUGUGACCCUGACAGAGUCAUAGGCACACAUUCAUUGCUUGUAAGUGUGGCUGCUGUUUGAGGUACAAGUUUAAGAGCUUCUGCCCCAGCUACAAUAUCCAGAGCUGGUAUUCAUCACCUGAAACCCCAGUGCCUGGAGUAGAACGUGGAUAUUUGGAAAAAAACUGAAGAACAUGGUCAUACUUAUGUUUCAGCAAAAGAAUGAGAAACUUUUCUAUUUCAUUAGUGAUUUGAAUGUGCCUGAAGUGGAUAGAUAUUAAAUUGUUUAUCCUAAUGAUUUUGCAGCAUAUUGAUUAUGGACACUGACAACAAUUUCUUCACCUGUAAAGACAUCAGACAAGAUCCACAGAAACUUUAUGAUGCUGCUUCCGAUGAACAGUCUUUUUCUGCCAUGAGAAUAAAAGCAUAG
rnacentral:lncRNA from 1 species